AUUGAACGCUGGCGGCAGGCUUAACACAUGCAAGUCGAGCGGAGAUGAGGUGCUUGCACCUUAUCUUAGCGGCGGACGGGUGAGUAAUGCUUAGGAAUCUGCCUAUUAGUGGGGGACAACAUUCCGAAAGGAAUGCUAAUACCGCAUACGCCCUACGGGGGAAAGCAGGGGAUCUUCGGACCUCGCGCUAAUAGAUGAGCCUAAGUCGGAUUAGCUAGUUGGUGGGGUAAAGGCCUACCAAGGCUACGAUCUGUAGCGGGUCUGAGAGGAUGAUCCGCCACACUGGGACUGAGACACGGCCCAGACUCCUACGGGAGGCAGCAGUGGGGAAUAUUGGACAAUGGGCGGAAGCCUGAUCCAGCCAUGCCGCGUGUGUGAAGAAGGCCUUUUGGUUGUAAAGCACUUUAAGCGAGGAGGAGGCUACCUGGAUUAAUACUCUAGGAUAGUGGACGUUACUCGCAGAAUAAGCACCGGCUAACUCUGUGCCAGCCGCCGCGGUAACAC
rnacentral:rRNA from 1 species